AUUGAACGCUGGCGGCAGGCCUAACACAUGCCAGUCGAGCGGAUGAAGGGAGCUUGCUCCUGGAUUCAGCGGCGGACGGGUGAGUAAUGCCUAGGAAUCUGCCUGGUAGUGGGGGAUAACGUCCGGAAACGGGCGCUAAUACCGCAUACGUCCUGAGGGAGAAAGUGGGGGAUCUUCGGACCUCACGCUAUCAGAUGAGCCUAGGUCGGAUUAGCGAGUUGGUGGGGUAAAGGCCUACCAAGGCGACGAUCCGUAACUGGUCUGAGAGGAUGAUCAGUCACACUGGAACUGAGACACGGUCCAGACUCCUACGGGAGGCAGCAGUGGGGAAUAUUGGACAAUGGGCGAAAGCCUGAUCCAGCCAUGCCGCGUGUGUGAAGAAGGUCUUCGGAUUGUAAAGCACUUUAAGUUGGGAGGAAGGGCAGUAAGUUAAUACCUUGCUGUUUUGACGUUACCAACAGAAUAAGCACCGGCUAACUUCGUG
rnacentral:rRNA from 1 species